rnacentral:rRNA from 1 species
UGCAGUCGAACGCGUUGGCCCAAUUGAUUGAUGGUGCUUGCACCUGAUUGAUUUUGGUCGCCAACGAGUGGCGGACGGGUGAGUAACACGUAGGUAACCUGCCCAGAAGCGGGGGACAACAUUUGGAAACAGAUGCUAAUACCGCAUAACAGCGUUGUUCGCAUGAACAACGCUUAAAAGAUGGCUUCUCGCUAUCACUUCUGGAUGGACCUGCGGUGCAUUAGCUUGUUGGUGGGGUAACGGCCUACCAAGGCGAUGAUGCAUAGCCGAGUUGAGAGACUGAUCGGCCACAAUGGGACUGAGACACGGCCCAUACUCCUACGGGAGGCAGCAGUAGGGAAUCUUCCACAAUGGGCGCAAGCCUGAUGGAGCAACACCGCGUGAGUGAAGAAGGGUUUCGGCUCGUAAAGCUCUGUUGUUAAAGAAGAACACGUAUGAGAGUAACUGUUCAUACGUUGACGGUAUUUAACCAGAAAGUCACGGCUAACUACGUGCCAGCAGCCGCGGUAAUACGUAGGUGGCAAGCGUUAUCCGGAUUUAUUGGGCGUAAAGAGAGUGCAGGCGGUUUUCUAAGUCUGAUGUGAAAGCCUUCGGCUUAACCGGAGAAGUGCAUCGGAAACUGGAUAACUUGAGUGCAGAAGAGGGUAGUGGAACUCCAUGUGUAGCGGUGGAAUGCGUAGAUAUAUGGAAGAACACCAGUGGCGAAGGCGGCUACCUGGUCUGCAACUGACGCUGAGACUCGAAAGCAUGGGUAGCGAACAGGAUUAGAUACCCUGGUAGUCCAUGCCGUAAACGAUGAGUGCUAGGUGUUGGAGGGUUUCCGCCCUUCAGUGCCGGAGCUAACGCAUUAAGCACUCCGCCUGGGGAGUACGACCGCAAGGUUGAAACUCAAAGGAAUUGACGGGGGCCCGCACAAGCGGUGGAGCAUGUGGUUUAAUUCGAAGCUACGCGAAGAACCUUACCAGGUCUUGACAUCUUGCGCCAACCCUAGAGAUAGGGCGUUUCCUUCGGGAACGCAAUGACAGGUGGUGCAUGGUCGUCGUCAGCUCGUGUCGUGAGAUGUUGGGUUAAGUCCCGCAACGAGCGCAACCCUUGUUACUAGUUGCCAGCAUUAAGUUGGGCACUCUAGUGAGACUGCCGGUGACAAACCGGAGGAAGGUGGGGACGACGUCAGAUCAUCAUGCCCCUUAUGACCUGGGCUACACACGUGCUACAAUGGACGGUACAACGAGUCGCGAACUCGCGAGGGCAAGCAAAUCUCUUAAAACCGUUCUCAGUUCGGACUGCAGGCUGCAACUCGCCUGCACGAAGUCGGAAUCGCUAGUAAUCGCGGAUCAGCAUGCCGCGGUGAAUACGUUCCCGGGCCUUGUACACACCGCCCGUCACACCAUGAGAGUUUGUAACACCCAAAGUCGGUGGGGUAACCUUUUAGGAGCCAGCCG